GGGUACCCUAAAGGAGGAGUGGAGGAGAAAGCCUAUGCGGAGAGAAGUGGCAGUGGAGAUGAGAUUAAAGGGUGAUGGUCCCGGCUGCUGGAGUUGGACCCACCAGAGUGACAAAGGAGAUGAAGAUGAUAAUGAUGAUCCCAUCAAUCCCACCAUUCCUGUGCCUCCAGCUUCACUGAUGCCGGUGUUUGAGGCUGAACUCCCUCUACCUUCCUUACUUACG
rnacentral:misc_RNA from 1 species